ACAUCACGAGGCAGGUUAAAAGCCAUGCCUGCCCUCUUUCCUUAUUCUUCUCUUUGAUUACUAGAAGUCCUGUUUGCACAUUGCAAAGAUUUUACCGAAUAGUUCCAGAGAUGUUAGGUCACACCCAGUGGAGGAAAGUUCUGGGCUAUUGAGAGAGCCAAAAGAAGCCCAGGAUAAUUUGGCUCUUGACUUGAGACAGCCUACUUUCUCUGCAUCAUUGAAGUUCUCAUCAGUGAGUCAGCCUUGCAGAAGGCUGAGUGUGAUAUGUCGUUCUUUCCAGGACCUUUUAUCCACAGUGACAAUGAUGUCAUGAAAGGAAGAGAGCAUGUUAGCUCUGCUGAAGACAAACACGCUGGCAUGAAGAGUAGUAGAACCCAUUAGAAAGUGAAGUUGAAAAGGACUAAAGAUACAGCGUUUAGAAGCUCCAUUCGGAAGUAAAAAUUUGACAUAAACGGAGCUUCAAAAAAUGUGUCAAAGAAAUGAAACAGAUAACAAAUAGCUGGAGGCCAAGGCUCUGGUGGACGUCAGGACAUUGUAAAGCAUCAACCGUCUGUGGAUGUAGAAGCAUUGACUGUGGUUGUUAGCUGUGGUACAGAUAAGUCAGAGAAAAAUAUCAGACUUGGGUCCUGGAUGUGGGAGACAUACAGAAGGUUUGGGUCAGCUGUAAACCUUUGAGGGCUGGCAUUUGAAGUCUUUUCAAGUAGAAAAGGACAUACAAAACAUGAGGUGAACUUUGACUGCAGCUGCUGUUUGCUCUUAACACCAAGCAGGGAAGGAGCCAAGGCAUUUUUUGCAGAGAGAAAAGGCCAAAAGGAUUUUAUCAGAAUUGUAUGCAGACAAGAUGACUGUUCAUACCCGUCUGGAGGAACAGACUCUCAGGAUAGAGAAAUCACACUGGUUUCUCCACCAAUGUCCUUUGAUUUGUUGACGUUUUCUCAUUCUGAAGAAUGUGGAAAAGCUGAAGGGAAAUCAUCCACUCUUAGUAACAACACAACAUCAGCUCCUAGUCAUGGUGUCCAAUGGUUACAGACUAGAUGUUUACUAAGAUGAUGCUGACAUACAUACAAACAAAACAUAUCUAGUCUCUCAUGUAGACUCAAUUUGGGGGGAGAUAAAAUAUUGACUCCCUGUUAAUACUGUAUGCUAAU